rnacentral:rRNA from 1 species
AGUAGUCUUUUAAUUGGAGGCUUGUAUGAAUGGUUGGACGAGGUAUAUACUGUCUUAAAUAAAUAUAUAGUAGAAUUUUACUUUUUAGUUAAAAGGCUAAAAUAAAAUUGAAGGACGAGAAGACCCUAUAAAGCUUUAUAAUAUUUUUAUAUAAUUUAUUUAGAAAAAGUAAAAUUUAAUAAUUUUAUAUUAUUUUGUUGGGGUGACAAUAAGAUUUAAUGAACUCUUAUAUAUACACAAUACAUUGAUUUAUGAAUAAUUGAUCCAGUUUUAUUGAUUAAAAAUUUAAGUUACUUUAGGGAUAACAGCGUAAUUUUCUUUGAGAGUUCUUAUCGACAAGAAAGAUUGC